CCUACGGGUGGCAGCAGUGAGGAAUAUUGGUCAAUGGACGAGAGUCUGAACCAGCCAAGUAGCGUGAAGGAUGACUGCCCUAUGGGUUGUAAACUUCUUUUAUAUGGGAAUAAAAUGUUCCACGUGUGGGAUUUUGUAUGUACCAUAUGAAUAAGGAUCGGCUAACUCCGUGCCAGCAGCCGCGGUAAUACGGAGGAUCCGAGCGUUAUCCGGAUUUAUUGGGUUUAAAGGGAGCGUAGGUGGAUUGUUAAGUCAGUUGUGAAAGUUUGCGGCUCAACCGUAAAAUUGCAGUUGAAACUGGCAGUCUUGAGUACAGUAGAGGUGGGCGGAAUUCAUGGUGUAGCGGUGAAAUGCUUAGAUAUCACGAAGAACUCCGAUUGCGAAGGCAGUUCACUGGACUGCAACUGACACUGAGGCUCGAAAGUGUGGGUAUCAAACAGGAUUAGAUACCCGAGUAGUC
rnacentral:rRNA from 1 species